AGGCCCGUAGCUCAAUUUGGCAGAGCAUCGGAUUCCAAAUCCGACGGCUGGGGGUUCGAGUCCUCCCGGGCCUGCCA
rnacentral:tRNA from 1 species